GGCGAAGAUUGUGUUGGUAGGUAGGACUUUGGCCCUCGGGUGAGGCAUUUAGGAAGCUUAAUUUCUGUGACAGUGGUAGUGGAUUGAACUUCUGCAAUCUAGCUAAUGUGAAGACGAGAGGCCCGUACGCAGGAUCAGUAUGGCCGACUUCGACCCUCAAGAUAGUGAUGAGUCGGGUGAUGAGGACAGCUGGAAGGAUUCAACCCAUUCUGGCCGUGAUGGUGCCAUUUUUCUGGUGGAAGUAUCCCCAGAAAUGUUUCAGAAGCGGGAGGAUGAGGAAGAUAGCUUUUUACAGCUGGCAUUAAGGUGCUCCCUCUCCAUGAUCGUCAACAAGG